GCAACCCAGGUACAUGCCCUUGACCGGAAUCGAACCUGGGACCUUUCAGUCCGCAGGCCGAUGCUCUAUCCACCGAGCCAAACCGGUUUUGGCUAUCUGUGGAGUUUUAUUAAUCUAUUGGUGUUUAAAGCCAAUUCCAGAUGUGCUGAAUCUAUUUACUUGAUAAGCUUGGUAGUCUUUUCAUAUUUUAAGGAUGUGCUAGUUAUAGGUGGCAUCCAAUUUUUAUAUGUUAUAUCUGAAAAUGUUUUCUCUGUGAAGAUGAUAUCCUUCCAUUUUCAUAAGCUAGAUAUAAUAUCCACCUUUUUUUUGAAAAUAGACUUAACUCUUUGUGUUUAUAGAUAUUUUGUAUAGCAUUGUUUUGGGUUGACUUUGUUUUGCAUGCCACAGAACAACCAGAUAUGCUUGUUAAUUGCAUUAUUGUUGUAACAAACCCUCUUUAGAUUAUUCCCUUUUGAAAAAUAUCAAUAAUAAGGAAAUAAUCGCCAUUUUUAGUCUUUUUACAUCUAUAGAUAGUUUUGUUUGUGUGUUUUGUUUUACUCCUGAUGUUUCCAUGAAAUCGAAUGCAAUGAGCUAUAGGACAGAAAUUCCAUCUUCAAUAAAGAAAGACCGUCUUAGAGCCUGGUGGAAAAGGACCAUACUAGGGACUCUUGGGUACAGGCUUCUGAUGGCAUUGCUUAAGCAACUACAAAAUCACACCGGUGGAUCAAGUCAGGAGCUACAGACCUCUAUUGGAAAGCAGGUGCAUUCAUUGGACUACUGACUCAAGUUCAAGUGGAAGAAAAAAUAAUUGCCUAGGACUGAAUGGACUGAGUAAAUUGGGUGAAUAGGAACUUUGUUUGGAAUAGCUGAUGCAUUAAUGUUCUAUUUUCUGGAUAUAAGGAACCGCUUUCUGUGAAGCUAUCUAUCACUCAUAACAAUUUAGUAGACGGUGCUCUUGUAAACAGAAAUGAUCAGCUACCUGCCUGAAUGCUUUGUCUUCAGCCAAAAAGGACAGUCUCAGAGACCCAUGGGGAAGAACUAUGCCAGCUACUCUUGCACACAGACUCCUGAUGGCAUUGCUUAAAUAACUUUGGUUAUUGGUGGACUCAGUCAGGAUUUCCAGAACCUUAGUUGAGAAGAAGAUGGAUUUAUGAGACUGCUAAUCCAAGUUCAAGUGAGGCAGGUUUGAUGGCACAGGACUGAAUGAACUGCUGAUGGAUGGAUAUGGGCUUUGUUUGGAAUAGUGCUGAUGCUCUAAUGUUCUAUUCUCUGGGUAUAAGGACCACUUUCAAAUAAGCUAUCUAUCACUCAUAACAAUUUAGUAGACUGUGCUCUUGUAAAUAGCAAUGAAACAUUUAUCUGCUCCACCCUGACUCACCUUUCCACAAUUCUGAAACUCUUAUCGAGUACUCUUAUUUUCAUGGCAAUACAGUUAUCUGCAUAGAUUCAAUAAGAGUCCGUCCAUCUUUUUAACAAGUGGACCAUAAUUGGGAACAUUGGUUAUGCAACCGAGCUUUUGCCUAUAAUGUCGUAUUUGAGAAUGAUGCUCAUUUAACCAGCUAUGACCAAAUGCUUCUAGGCACUAAGGUUGACUUGGUGGGGGCUCAUGCUUACCGAGUCUCUCUCGGGAAGACUGGCCUGGUAACUGGCUUCAUAGGGUUCCCAGCCUUACAGGUGAGUGAGGAAGGUCACUUCCUGGUGGGCUCAGGAAUCUUAGGCUGCUUUGGGGGACCUCGGGAAGAGAGGAAUGCCCAUCAAAUCACUGGGUGCUGCAGGUGAAAAGUGGGGGUGAAUUCUUGGCUUGGCUUCCUACCCUCAAGAGGCUUUGAAAAGUCCAAUCUGAGAUUCUUUAUGAAAACUCUCAGCAAAGCAAAUCUAAAACCUAUGUGGUAAAUUGUCAUUCUUGGUGCAUCUAUGCAAAUAACCAGGCCACUGUAAUGAGACCAGCCUUAUUUUGUGAUCAAGAAUAACUUUUCUUUGAGAUUGUGUUUGAUCUUUUAAAAAAUAUUUUUUUUUCUUUAUCUUUGAGAUUGUGUUUGACCAGAAUGGUAAGAGAGACUGUAGUGAGAAAUUUUGUUUCAAUAGGAAAUAGUAGCUUACUCUCUGGAUGUUCAGAUUCUGAUCUUCUUCAUUGUCUUUGAGCUAUGUUGCACCUUUUUGUAAUUGCUUUCGACUGACUUUGUCUGAUCUAGUAACCAAGCUUUCUCUUUCACUGUGGAAAAAUCAGUUUGAUAUUGAACUGGAUUCUUCCACCUUGCACAGACUGUCGAUCCUUACCAGGUUUUCAGCUCUUCCAGACCCCUUCAAUAUCUGGCUACAAUCUCACCUUCGCCUUCAAACUAAGAUUUCCAUUCUUUCUCCUUUCUUCUUGACUUGGAGUCACUGAGAACUAAAACCUGAUUGCCAGAUACUUAUUGAGACUCUGAGGUUGCCUUGUAACUGGUGCUUCCCCCCUCGGACUGAAGACUCAUUGCAAGUUCAAGCCUGAGGACUUGUUUAAGCCUAUGACUAGGACUCAUCAUUUCAGCUGACCAUUCAUGGCACAGCUCUUUCCUUGGAUAAACUGCUGUUUGGACUGCUGUGGAAGUCUGGUGAAAUUCUCAGGUCACCCAUGCCCUGGCUGGAGAGGUAACCAACACUUUGGACAACAUCACCAAAGCAGUCAACAUCAUAACUUCGAAAGCCUCAGUGAAAGUUUCCUUGGAGGUUCCACUAAGAUACAGUUUCCACUGGUCGUGAGCAUGGACUCCAGUCUUCGUCCAAGUGUGGAAGCCCUUGUGCUUUGCUGCUCACCUCUUGUCGAGUCCACAACAAUGUGGAUAUUUCGUUUAUUGGAAGAGACAUCAUAGGAAAACUGCUGCUCUUGACUUCAUUGGAAAGGACCUUAUCAGAUCUCUGCGUGUGCCUGCUGAGUACUACUUCCUUCGUGACCACAACACCCGGCUCUGUUUGCUUCGACUCUGCCAGAUGAAUCCUAUGCAAGAUGCCCAGACUUCAAAAUUCUACCACAACUGAGCUGUGCUGUUCCCUUUCAACAUAUGAUUUAACUUAUUUUACAGAAACAACACCAACAAAAGUCCCAGAAAGACUAUUAAUCAGAUCCUGCUUCUUCUUACUCAGGAGUUUUAUACUCAUCUCUUAGUUGUUUAGGAACCUAUUGUGUUCAUUAAUAUUGAACAAAAGGCUGACAAUGUUGAACUUUACCUAUGGUCUGUGUCACUAGAAAACAAGUGAUGCUUAAGAAAUGCUUAGGGCUGGGAAGGAUGGGGGAUGGGCAGGGGAUGGGAGGGGCAGCCAUCAUAUAAUUUUUUCUUGAUGUGAUGAGAAUGUUCUAAAAUUGAUUGUGGCGAUGGUUUCAAAUUUGUGAAUAUAAUAAAAAUCAUUGUAAGAUCUUUGUUAAGGCCUCAGAAGUAUUGAAGGUGGUGCCUAGGAGACCCUCUCAUGUAGACCAAAGGGCUUCUAAUGAUCCUUUGUAUCCUCAUAGGCAGCCAGAAUUAGAUGCAGGUUCAACUCAAAAAUAAUUAUGGAUGUGGCUUUGGGAUACAGAGUGAACUGCUCAUCAGAUUCCUAGAAAAUCCACAAAAUUUUAAAGAGAAUCACAUUGGUGAAAAUGCUGGCAGCUUGAAUUCAAAGGGACAACGUUCAGAACGGGCUCUCAACUUCUUAUGCUCAGGAAACUGGCUUCCAAAGAGCUAAACAGCUGCAAACAUGGCUCAUUUGUUUCCCGUAGUUUUUAACAGCUUGAUUGAGAUCGAUUCAUACACCACACAAUUCACUCAUUUAAACGCACGAGGACAAAUAAAACAUUAUUAAAACGAAUCUCGCAUGUUCUCAAAAUUUUGAAUGUGGCUGCUAGAAAACUUACAAUUUUCCUAUUUGCUUUUAUUGACAAAAUAAAAUCUCGAGUAUAUUUUUAUUUCUUACACAAAAUUACAAAGCCCGAACUUUGACCUGCCAUGUGACCAAAUGAUCUUCAUCCAGAAAAAAUCUCCUUGAUGGCUUUCUGACUUUUAAAUUGUUAGCUGCCAUUGACUCUUCUUGAUGUGCUGGUCCCAGCCUAGGGUCUGCGAGGUCUGUUCACACAUUCAAAGGGAGUUGAGGCUGUGGAUGGGAAGCAGUGCCUUCCAGAUACGGCACUUGAGACUGAUUAGAAGCCUCUGCUUGACUGGCCUGUUUAAUCAAGCCUGGCAGCCAUUUAUUGCUUGCUUGACUAAAACGUGCUGGAUAUUAUUGCUUUAAAGAACCUUUCUCCAUCAGCUCUUUCCAGACCUGAGCAUUAUCUCCAGGGCCAUGCAAAUUACCUGUGUGUGUGUGUGUGUGUAUAGGCCAGGGCUGAAACGGGAGGGAGAGAUGGGUGGGAAGAAUAACGCUGAGAAAUGUGAGCGCUCCGAAGAGGCCCACACCUGUUCAUGGUGUCAGAGUAUCACUCUCUUCAGGGAGCCUGAAGUUCAACCCUUGCAGAGCGGGGCUGUGGGCCUCGAGGGCAUGUAGGAAUGACAGAAGAAGCAGUCCUAAAAGGGCAUGUGCCCACAAUGUACUAGAAUAUAAUUUUUAGAAAUUUCCCCUUCCAAAUGAACCCCACACUAAAUGUCUGCAUUUCCUCGCUUAUCAAACAUUUACCCAACACAAGACACAAGCUCAUGGAUUGAAUGUAGAUGGAUGGAAAAGGGAGGAAUGAAGGACGAAGGCUGGGUUUCUGGCUGGAGCAACCCCCUGUGGUGCUAUUUUUGAGAAAGACUCAGAUCUGAGGUCGAGGAGCUGGAAAUGAAGAGGGCCGCUGUGUACAAGGACAUUCGAAGAACCCUAUGGUACAUUCACGUGCGCAGGUGGUGUGGACUCCUGGUCCCCUCCCGAACACAAUGUAUCACUCUCUCCUGAGUGACACGCUGGCUUGGGUAUUCUUUUACUCUUCCUAGAUGACCCGACAGUGUAGCCAGCCUUGAGAACAGACCCCGCUGGUGCUGACUGUGGUGCUGCCGUGUGAUCUGGAAGAUGGUUGGACAAACAGGUUUUAGAGCAGCGGUUCUCAACCUGCGGGUCUCGACCCCUUUGGGGGUCGAACGACCCUUUCACAGGGGUUGCCUAAGACCAUUGGA